rnacentral:tRNA from 1 species
GGAGAGGUUGCGUAGUCCGGCCUAACGCGCACGCCUGGAGAGCGUGUGUACCGCAAGGUACCGUGGGUUCGAAUCCCACCCUCUCCG